rnacentral:rRNA from 1 species
GAUUAUCUACGAGCCAUCAUGAUAAAGUUGGGAUUUGCACCAGCUUGGGUAUCUCUUGUCAUGGGGAUGGUUACUUCGGUAAAAUUUUCAGUUAUGUUUAAUGGUGGCAAACUUGAAGAGUUCAAGCCAACCAGAGGGAUUCGACAGGGAGACCCCAUUUCUCCAUACUUGUUCUUGCUAGCAGCGGAGGGCCUUUCGUGCCUCCUAAAAAACAAAAAUGAAUCAUCGCACCUCAGUGGAAUCAAAGUGGCCUCGUCGUCACCGCCGGUAAACCACUUACUCUUUGCAGAUGAUAGCCUGUUGUUUGUCAAGGCCAAUACAGAUGGAGCUAAUGAGUUGUCAAACCUAUUGAAUUGCUAUUGCAAUGCCUCAGGUCAGAAGGUAAACUUAAACAAAUCCUCUGUCUUUUUCAGUAAGGGUUGCCCUAACGCACUCAAGGAAGAUGUUAAGGAUGCUUUGAAUGUACCCAAUGAAUCUUUAUCUGAACGGUAUCUGGGAAUGCCAUCUGACGUGGGUAAU